AUUGAACGCUGGCGGCAUGCCUUACACAUGCAAGUCGAACGGUAACAGGUUAAGCUGACGAGUGGCGAACGGGUGAGUAAUGUAUCGGAACGUGCCCAGUCGUGGGGGAUAACGUAGCGAAAGCUACGCUAAUACCGCAUACGAUCUACGGAUGAAAGAGGGGGAACGGAAGCCCUCGCGCGACUUGAGCUGCCGAUAUCAGCUUAGGUUGUUGGUGAGGUAAAAGCGCACCAAGCCUGCGAUCUGUAGCUGGUCUGAGAGGACGACUAGCCACACUGGAACUGAGACACGGUCCAGACUCCUACGGGAGGCAGCAGUGGGGAAUUUUGGACAAUGGACGCAAGUCUGAUCCAGCAAUGCCGCGUGCAGGACGAAGGCCUUCGGGUUGUAAACUGCUUUUGUACGGAACGAAACGGUGAGCUCUAAUACAGUUUGCUAAUGACGGUACCGUAAGAAUAAGCACCGGCUAACUACGUGCCAGCAGCCGCCGUAA
rnacentral:rRNA from 1 species